rnacentral:tRNA from 2 species
GCGAGAGUGGCGGAAUUGGCAGACGCGCUGGAUUUAGGUUCCAGUCCCGAAAGGGGUAGGGGUUCAAGCCCCCUCUCUCGCACCA